UUUUAAAAGACACCUCCCCCCGCCCCAGCCUGAGGGCCGGCCAGCCUGCGGAGGUUGGUCAGGUGGUCACCCACCUUCUGGAUGAUUUUCACAUCCUCAUC